GGGCCUUUAGCUCAGUUGGUAGAGCGCCACGUUUACACCGUGGAUGUCAUCGGUUCGAGCCCGGUAGGGCCCACCU
rnacentral:tRNA from 6 species